rnacentral:rRNA from 1 species
UACGUAGGUGGCAAGCGUUGUCCGGAAUUAUUGGGCGUAAAGCGCGCGCAGGUGGUUUCUUAAGUCUGAUGUGAAAGCCCACGGCUCAACCGUGGAGGGUCAUUGGAAACUGGGGAACUUGAGUGCAGGAGAGAAGAGUGGAAUUCCACGUGUAGCGGUGAAAUGCGUAGAGAUGUGGAGGAACACCAGUGGCGAAGGCGACUCUUUGGCCUGUAACUGACACUGAGGCGCGAAAAGCGUGGGGAGCAAACAGG